UACGGGGGGGGCAAGCGUUGUUCGGAAUUACUGGGCGUAAAGGGCUCGUAGGCGGCCAACUAAGUCAGACGUGAAAUCCCUCGGCUUAACCGGGGAACUGCGUCUGAUACUGGAUGGCUUGAGUUUGGGAGAGGGAUGCGGAAUUCCAGGUGUAGCGGUGAAGUGCGUAGAUAUCUGGAGGAACACCGGUGGCGAAGGCGACAUCCUGGACCAACACUGACGCUGAGGAGCGAAAGCCAGGGGAGCAAACGGG
rnacentral:rRNA from 1 species